GGGGUGAUGGCGUGCCUUUUGGAGAAUGAUCCUGCGAGUUACGUUCAAUGGCGAGGUUAAGUUUAACGGAGCCGAAGGGAAACCGAGUCUGAAUAGGGCGAUUUAGUCGUUGGGCGUAGACGCGAAACCUGGUGAUCUAAGCCUGUCCAGGGUGAAGCUGUGGUAAGACACAGUGGAGGCCCGAACUCACCGCCGUUGAAAAGUUGGGAGAUGAGGUAGGUUUAGGGGUGAAAAGCCAAUCGAACCAGGAGAUAGCUCGUUCUCUCCGAAAUGCAUUUAGGUGCAGCCUUGAGUGUUCAAUUAUGGGGGUAGAGCACUGAAUGAUCUAGGGGGCGUAUUGCUUACCGAAAUCAAUCAAACUCCGAAUACCAUAAUUUAAGAGCUCAGGAGUGAGACUAUGGGAAUUAACUUCCAUGGUCAAAAGGGAAACAACCCAGACCACCAGCUAAGGUCCCUAAUUAUAACUAAGUGGGAAAGGAGGUGGAGAUUCACAAACAACCAGGAGGUUGGCUUAGAAGCAGCCAUUCCUUUAAAGAGUGCGUAAUAGCUCACUGGUCGAGAGUCUCUGCGCCGACAAUGUAACGGGGCUAAGUUAUAAACCGAAGCUGUGGAAUUGCGUAAGCAAUUGGUAGGAGAGCGUUCUGUAGGCCGUUGAAGGAGAAGGGUAACCGACUCUGGAGGUAUCAGAAGUGAGAAUGCAGGAAUAAGUAGCGAGAAUGGGGGCGAGAAUCCCCCAGGCCGGAAGAACAAGGGUUCCAGGGUAAAGUUUGUCUUCCCUGGGUAAGCCGGGACCUAAGCCGAGGCUAGAAUGCGUAGGCGAAUGGAAAGCAGAUUAAUAUUUCUGCGCCACUGAUAUUCAGUGAUGGAGGGACGCAGGAGGUUAUGUUCGCUGGCGAACGGAAGUGCCAGUCUAAGCAUGUAGGGUGAUUUUCCAGGUAAAUCCGGAAAGUUAGAUCUGAGGUGUGAUGGGGAGCCAUUAGGCGAAGGAACAAAUACCACACUGCCGAGAAAAGCUUCUAAGCGUUUUAAAGAUAUUAGUGCCCGUACCCGAAACCGACACAGGUGUUCAGGAUGAGAAAUCUAAGGCCGACAGGCUAACUCUCGUUAAGGAACUCUGCAAAAUGGCCCCGUAACUUCGGGAGAAGGGGUGCCCUUUGUUGUUACUGUCUACGCGACAGGAAGCAAUAGAGGGCCGCAGUGAAGAGUCUCAGGCGACUGUUUAACAAAAACACAGGUCUAUGCUAAGCUGUAAGGCGAUGUAUAUGGGCUGACACCUGCCCAGUGCCGGAAGGUUAAGAGGAGGAGUGAGAGCUCCGAAUUGAAGCCCCGGUGAACGGCGGCCGUAACUAUAACGGUCCUAAGGUAGCGAAAUUCCUUGUCGGGUAAGUUCCGACCUGCACGAAUGGUGUAACGAUCUGAGAGCUGUCUUGACGGGAGGCCUGGUGAAAUUGUAUUACCGGUGAAGAUACCGGUUACCUGCAGUAGGACGGAAAGACCCCAUGGAGCUUUACUGUAGCUUGGUAUUGGGUUUUGGUGUCGUAUGUAUAGGAUAGUUGGGAGACUAUGAGCUGUGAUCGCUAGAUUACAGGGAGUCACUGGUGGAAUACCAACCAUACUACAUCGAAAUUCUAAUUUGAGGUUUGUACCCUCGAAGACAGUGCUAGGUGGGCAGUUUGACUGGGGCGGUCGCCUCCGAAAGAGUAACGGAGGCGUUCAAAGGUUCCCUCAGGUUGGAUGGAAAUCAACCGGAGAGUGCAAUGGCAAAAGGGAGCUUAACUGCGAGACUGACGGGUCGAGCAGGUGCGAAAGCAGGACAUAGUGAUCCGGCGAUUCCGAAUGGAAGGGUCGUCGCUCAACGGAUAAAAGCUACCCUGGGGAUAACAGGCUGAUUCUACCCGAG
rnacentral:ncRNA from 1 species